rnacentral:rRNA from 1 species
CGCUUUCACUCCUACGGGGAGCAGCAGUAGGGAAUCUUCACAAUGGGCGCAAGCCUGAUGGAGCAACACCGCGUGAGUGAAGAAGGGUUUCGGCUCGUAAAGCUCUGUUGUUAAAGAAGAACACGUAUGAGAGUAACUGUUCAUACGUUGACGGUAUUUAACCAGAAAGUCACGGCUAACUACGUGCCAGCAGCCGCGGUAAUACGUAGGUGGCAAGCGUUAUCCGGAUUUAUUGGGCGUAAAGAGAGUGCAGGCGGUUUUCUAAGUCUGAUGUGAAAGCCCUCGGCUUAACCGGAGAAGUGCAUCGGAAACUGGAUAACUUGAGUGCAGAAGAGGGUAGUGGAACUCCAUGUGUAGCGGUGGAAUGCGUAGAUAUAUGGAAGAACACCAGUGGCGAAGGCGGCUACCUGGUCUGCAACUGACGCUGAGACUCGAAAGCAUGGGUAGCGAACAGGAUUAGAUACCCUGGUAG